rnacentral:rRNA from 1 species
UACGAAGGGGGCUAGCGUUGCUCGGAAUCACUGGGCGUAAAGCGCACGUAGGCGGACUCUUAAGUCGGUGGUGAAAUCCUGGAGCUCAACUCCAGAACUGCCUUCGAUACUGGGAGUCUCGAGUUCGGGAGAGGUGAGUGGAACUGCGAGUGUAGAGGUGAAAUUCGUAGAUAUUCGCAAGAACACCAGUGGCGAAGGCGGCUUACUGGCCCGAUACUGACGCUGAGGUGGCG